AUUGAACGCUGGCGGCAGGCCUAACACAUGCAAGUCGAGCGAGUGGCGGACGGGUGAGUAAUGUCUGGGAAACUGCCUGAUGGAGGGGGAUAACUACUGGAAACGGUAGCUAAUACCGCAUAACCUCGGAUGUGCCCAGAUGGGAUUAGCUUGUAGGUGGGGUAAAGGCUCACCUAGGCCACGAUCCCUAGCGGGUCUGAGAGGAUGACCAGCCACACUGGAACUGAGACACGGUCCAGACUCCUACGGGAGGCAGCAGUGGGGAAUAUUGCACAAUGGGCGCAAGCCUGAUGCAGCCAUGCCGCGUGUAUGAAGAAGGCCUUAGGGUUGUAAAGUACUUUCAGCGGGGAGGCGUUACCCGCAGAAGAAGCACCGGCUAACUCCGUGCCAGCAGCCGCGGUAAUUC
rnacentral:rRNA from 1 species